rnacentral:tRNA from 1 species
GUUGUGGCUCAGCGGUAGAGUGCUUGCCUAGCAUGUGUGAGGCCCUGGGUUCAAUCCUCAGCACACA